rnacentral:misc_RNA from 1 species
AGUGGGAGACGAGCGUCUCGAAGAAGUUAAGUCCAUCAAACUCCGGCGCAAACGACGUCAUGUCAUGCCGCCGCUGCUUGCCAGAGCUUUUCUCAGCUUUCACCGUCCUCCGAUCGACAGAGCUGCUCUUCUUCUCUCUGCAGGUAUUGCCGCCCACAUCAGGACAGCGAUGCUUCGUCGCCUUAGCCGUCCAUCCACCGGAGAUAUCUUCCGGAGCUGAGCUGAGUAUAGA